AUUUGACCAGAAUGGAAGUGAAAAGAAUCGUAUACUACAAAUGGAUAUUUCCUCUUCCUCAGCAGAUUCAACCAUAGAUAGCCAUGAAGACAUAUCUGUUAGAGUUGUCAGCAAAGAAGUUCCUGUCCCUACGAGGACUCACAAACAAGGAAGUAUAAUUCAGGACAAAUUGUCAGGCGCAUCCGAACAUAAGGUGAAAGAAACUAGGAAGCCUGUCACUGCCUCCGUUCUGCCUCAGGAAUCCCCCAAGGAAAGCAUCAAUGUGAAGACUGAAAAAUACCAGAAAACAGUUAUUGCUAAGACAAAUUUGAAAUUAAGAGCAAAUGCAACGGCUACUUGCAACAAGACAGACUCGUUCAUUCGCACGGAGACAUGUCCAUUAUGCCAAAGUUGUCCACCAUCAGUUUAUUUUAUUAAAGCACUCAUAGGCCUGCUUUUGAUAAUCGUUGUAAGUAGGGAAGUGCUCAUUCUUAUACUUGGAUUAGCCGCAUGGUACUUAGUAUUUAGGUCUAUAUAAAGUCCUGAACUCGCUGUUUAGAAACUACUACAUGAGUUGAUGCAGCCUACUUUGUACCUGUUUAAUAUUUAUUUCUUACCUUGUGAAUGUGCAUAACAAUGGCUCAAAGAGCUGACAAAUACC
rnacentral:misc_RNA from 1 species